rnacentral:rRNA from 1 species
GUUAAACGUGUGCCAGCAGCGUGAGGAAUACUAAGGAUGCUGGCGUUAUCCGGAUUUAUUGGGUUUAAAGGGUGCGUAGGCGGCCUUAUAAGUCAGUGGUGAAAUCCUAUCGCUUAACGAUAGACGUGCCAUUGAUACUGUAGGGCUUGAGUAUAGAUGCCGUUGGCGGAAUGUGUCAUGUAGCGGUGAAAUGCAUAGAUAUGACACAGAACACCGAUUGCGAAGGCAGCUGACGAAACUAUAACUGACGCUGAUGCACGAAAGCGUGGGGAUCAAACAGGAUUAGAUACCCUAGUAGUC